UACGGAGGGAGCGAACGUUGUUCGGAUUCACUGGGCGUAAAGGGCGUGUAGGCGGCUUGGUAAGUCAGGGGUGAAAUCCCGCGGCUCAACCGCGGAGUUGCCUUUAAAACUGCCGAGCUUGAGGCCGUGAGAGGAGACUGGAAUUCCCAGUGUAGCGGUGAAAUGCAUAGAUAUUGGGAAGAACACCAGUGGCGAAGGCGAGUCUCUGGCACGGAUCUGACGCUGAGGCGCGAAAGCUAGGGGAGCAAACGGG
rnacentral:rRNA from 1 species